CAUCCCUUUCCCUUCCUCUUUUCUUGCUUGAGAGUCUUAAUUGUAAAGUGAGAGAGCACCAAAGAGGCACCAGAGGCCCCGCUGUUGGAGUCUUGGAGACAUCCCUCUGUUUUCUCUGUCAGAGCAAGCACCCACCUCCAUCCCCAGCAUCCAGGGCUUUGAAGUGGGACCUACCAGUUCACAGGGCCCUUCUCCUCACUCUCCAUGGACAAGAUACUUGCACUGGAUUCCACUGUCAAGCCUCUCUGACUUUGCAAGGAUGAGGGACAAAUAGUUGGAAGGAGGAGUGAGGUGCAUGCCUUUGAGUGUGGACCAGGCCAUGUAACUUCUUUUGGCGAGCAGAAUGAGGUAGAAACACGCCAUUUCUGAGGCCUGGCCUCCAGACAUGUUGUAUGCCUCCCUUUGUACCCUGUGCCUCUGCCAUUGCCAUGAUCAAGGCACACCCACGUUGGCCCCGUGGUCUCAGGAGGAAAAGAGAUUUGUGGAGAGCCAAACCACUGCAGCAAAGCCCAGCCAGAACCAGCCAAACCCAGUUGACCCCAGAUGGGCACACAGUGAGAGAGAGAGAAGCAGGCUUCAUGCACCGGGAGCCUGACGUGGGAU